rnacentral:rRNA from 1 species
AUUGAACGCUGGCGGCAGGCCUAACACAUGCAAGUCGAGCGGAUGAAGGGAGCUUGCUCCUGGAUUCAGCGGCGGACGGGUGUGUAAUGCCUAGGAAUCUGCCUGGUAGUGGGGGAUAACGUCCGGAAACGGGCGCUAAUAACGCAUACGUCCUGAGGGAGAAAGAGGGGGAUCUUCGGACCUCACGCUAUCAGAUGAGCCUAGGUCGGAUUAGCUAGUUGGUGGGGUAAAGGCCUACCAAGGCGACGAUCCGUAACUGGUCCGAGAGGAUGAUCAGUCACACGGGAACUGAGACACGGUCCAGACUCCGACGGUAGGCAACAGUGGGGAAUAUUGGACGAUGGGCGAAAGCCUGAUCCAGCCAUGCCGCGUGUGUGAAGAAGGUCUUCGGAUUGUAAAGCACUUUAAGUUGGGAGGAAGGGCAGUAAGUUAAUACCUUGCUGUUUUGACGUUACCAACAGAAUAAGCACCGGCUAACUUCGUG